rnacentral:rRNA from 1 species
ACGAACGCUGGCGGCGUGCUUCACACAUGCAAGUCGAACGGGCCUGUCUUCUUUUUUGGGGGUGGGUUGAGUGGCGAACGGGUGAGUAUCACGUGAGUAACCUGCCCUUCGGUCCUGGAUAACCGCUUGAAAGGGCGGCUAAUACGGGGUGGUCCGGUUGGUCCGCAUGGGCUGGUCGGGAUAGAUUCACUGUUUUUGGUGUUUCGGCGGGGGAUGGGCUCGCGGCCUAUCAGCUUGUUGGUGGGGUGAUGGCCUACCAAGGCGGUGACGGGUAGCCGGCCUGAGAGGGUGGGCGGCCACACUGGGACUGAGAUACGGCCCAGACUCCUGCGGGAGGCAGCAGUGGGGGGUAUUGCACAAUGGGCGGAAGCCUGAUGCAGCGACGUCGCGUGAGGGAUGGAGGCCUUCGGGUUGUGAACCUCUGUUUCCGGUGGUGAAGGCCCUGUCCGUGUGGUGGGGUUGACGGUAGCCGGGGAUGAAGCGCCGGCUAACUACGUG